UUCUCUGCUCUUUACAGUUUAGAGUUGGAGAAUUUUGGAGUAAAAGCAUUGCCUGAAUGGUUUGGAGGGCUCUCAUCUCUAGAAAGGUUGUGCCUAUCAGAUUUUACAAACUUGAGGAGUCUUCCCUCAAUGCAGAGCCUAACCAAAUUAGAGGAGUUGCGCAUUCACGACUGUCCACAGUUACGGAUUGACUCUGAGAGGCACAAGAUCUUGAGUCACAGCCUCAUCUACGUUAAUGGUCACAAGCUUUAGAUCUGUUGCUCAAUUGUACAGUUUGGGUGACCUCAGAACUUCAACAGGGCAGAUGCAGUUUAGGGUGAUGCAGUCGGCGUCAUCAUUGUCGGUGUCCCAAGUUACCAACGUGCUAAUGAAUUGAGGUCGAGAUUGAAGUUAAGAACAGAGCUUGUACAGAGUCGAAAAAGAAGAACCGCGCCAACUCUGAAACGUGCCUUGAUCUUCACAUCAAGCACUCCAUGACCUCACUAGCUUUGAGUUUUUGUAGUGUUUCCAUAUUUUGGAAGAUUGGUUGUUAUUUAUGUUGAGUUUAUAUGUGUA